rnacentral:rRNA from 1 species
AACGAACGCUGGCGGCAUGCCUAACACAUGCAAGUCGAACGAGACCUUCGGGUCUAGUGGCGCACGGGUGCGUAACGCGUGGGAACCUGCCCUUAGGUUCGGAAUAACUCCCCGAAAGGGGUGCUAAUACCGGAUAAUGUCUUCGGACCAAAGAUUUAUCGCCUUUGGAUGGGCCCGCGUUGGAUUAGCUAGUUGGUAGGGUAAAAGCCUACCAAGGCGACGAUCCAUAGCUGGUCUGAGAGGAUGAUCAGCCACACUGGGACUGAGACACGGCCCAGACUCCUACGGGAGGCAGCAGGGGGGAAAAUGGGACAAUGGGCGAAAGCCUGAUCCAGCAAUGCCGGGGGGGUGAUGAAGGCCUUAGGGUUGUAAAGCUCUUUUACCCGGGAUGAUAAUGACAGUACCGGGAAAAUAAGCCCCGGCAAACUCCGU